rnacentral:lncRNA from 1 species
GAGACAGACUAUUGCUCCGUCACCUAGGUUGGAGUGCAGUGGCAUGGUCACAGCUAACUCCAGCCCUCUUGGGUUUAAGCUAUCCUCCUGCCUCAGCCUCCUGAUUAGUGGGGACCAGAGGUGUGAGCCACACUCUUGACUAAUUUUUUAAUUGUUUGACGGGGUCUCACUACUUUGCCCAGGGACUUACUGGCUUGAGGGAAACUUAUCUUCCUAAAUAGCCUCACAAAACCCAGUGGGGUAUGACCAGGACAGGAUUGAGGAAUCACAGGGGAUUCAGUGGGCAGAGUCCCUGUUGUGGUGUGUUGGCCGAAGUUCACAUGUGGGCACGGAGAUAAAUGUGCAUGAACUUCUCUGAGGAACAACUACCUCAUAAUAAUAAUAGCCACCAUUUAUUGAGCACAUACUUUUACCAUGCUGAGGACUUUACAUGCAUUAAUUAAAACAACUCAUAUUUACUGAGUACUAACUAAUGUGACAGAUGCUGUUCUAAGCGCUUUCCAAGCCAUAACUCAUUCAUUAAUCACAAACUACUCUAUAAGAUUUAUUAUCAGUAGGUCUCAUGUCUGUUUUCUAGUCUACUAUGCUUUCUCUAUUUACGGCAGCUUUAAUUUGGUUAAACUUUAUUUAGAUUCUGUUGUGAGGUGGGCACUGUAAUAAAUACUGUGGAGAUUCCAAGGAGGAAAAAGACCUGAUCCCUAUUGUAGCACUAAGAAAGGACCUUGUAAUGCCAACCUCAUAUGGAAUCUGUUCCUAAGAAUUGCUACAAAACGUUGUACAGGGUAGGGGAAGACUUAGAGGAAGGUAUCUGAUUCAUUUCAUGCAUCCAAAUUCUGCCUUACAUAACAGGGUGCUUUACGUGUUAACUGGGGUUCAGACUAUCCUUUACGCCAGGAGUCAGCAAGUUUUUUCUUUAAAGGGCCAGAUAGUAAAUAUUUCCAUCUUUGCUGGCCACACAGUUUCUGUUGCAACCAUUCAGAUCUGCCAUUGUGGCAAGAAAUAAGUCAUAGACAAUAUGUAAACAAAUGGCUCUGGUUGUGUUCCAAUAAAACUUUAUUUAUAAAAUAUGCAACUGAAUGGAUUUGGCCUGGGAGCCAUAGUUUGACAACCUCCGCUUUAGGCACUGGGAAGUCAUUGGUGGUUUUUGAGCAGGAGGCUCUUGAUUAGGUUGUUUUUCAGAGGAGGCUUUGUUUGCUGACACAUUGCCGUGUCCCUUCUCUGAACUUAGUAAUAAUAACCUUUACUGUUUACACCACACUUUACAACUUAUAAAGCAUUUUCAAAUCCC